rnacentral:rRNA from 1 species
GACGAACGCUGGCGGCGUGCUCAACACAUGCAAGUCGUACGGUAAGGCCCUUUCGGGGGUACACGAGUGGCGAACGGGUGAGUAACACGUGAGUAACCUGCCCACAACUUUGGGAUAACGCUAGGAAACUGGUGCUAAUACUGGAUAUGUGCUCCUGCUGCAUGGUGGGGGUUGGAAAGCUCCGGCGGUUGUGGAUGGACUCGCGGCCUAUCAGCUUGUUGGUGGGGUAGUGGCCUACCAAGGCGGCGACGGGUAGCCGGCCUGAGAGGGUGACCGGCCACAUUGGGACUGAGAUACGGCCCAGACUCCUACGGGGGGCAGCAGUGGGGAAUAUUGCACAAUGGGCGCAAGCCUGAUGCAGCACCGCCGCGUGCGGGAUGACGGCCUUCGGGUUGUAAACCGCUUUCAGCAGGGACGAAGCUUUUUGUGACGGUACCUGCAGAAGAAGCACCGGCUAACUACGUG